AGCGAACGCCGGCGGCAGGCUUAACACAUGCAAGUCGAGCGGGCAUCCUUGUGGUGUCAGCGGCAGACGGGUGAGUAACGCGUGGGAACGUGCCCUUCGGUUCGGAAUAACUCAGGGAAACUUGAGCUAAUACCGGAUACGUGCGAGAGCAGAAAGGUUUAUCUGCCGAAGGAUCGGCCCGCGUCUGAUUAGCUAGUUGGUGAGGUUACGGCUCACCAAGGCGACGAUCAGUAGCUGGUCUGAGAGGAUGAUCAGCCACACUGGGACUGAGACACGGCCCAGACUCCUACGGGAGGCAGCAGUGGGGAAUAUUGGACAAUGGGGGCAACCCUGAUCCAGCCAUGCCGCGUGAGUGAUGACGGCCUUAGGGUUGUAAAGCUCUUUUCUCCGGGACGAUAAUGACGGUACCGGAGGAAUAAGCCCCGGCUAACUUCGUG
rnacentral:rRNA from 1 species